rnacentral:rRNA from 1 species
ACACACCGCCCGUCAAGCCAUGGAAGCCGGGGCGCUUGAAGUGCGUUGCCGCAAGGCGCGCCUAGAGCGAAACCGGUGACUGGGGCUAAGUCGUAACAAGGUACC